AAAAAUGUAUAAAAAAUUGCUUUUACUUUCCACUGAUAUUCACUGGACAAAAGGCAGACAGUCAAAAUUAUCAGCAAAAUGCGACUGGCCAUUAUUUUGAUUCUGUUUACUCUUGUAGCAAGUGGAUAUGCAAGAUUUUUUUUUUACCGUAGACCAUAUUACCGACGGAGUUACUACCCUUCUUACAGAUCAUAUAACUACUAUGGUGGAGGGAACUACUACAAGGACGCCGGAGAUCGCAACGAACGCUGGUCGGAUGCAUAGUAAUGGAAUUUGAAAAAAAAAAUGUUCAAGAAUCAGAACUAGCUAGAAAGUUAGGGUUUUUAGUGAGCUUUGUGUGAUUCAAUAAUUUAGUUAUUGCAUAGUCUUUCUUAUUGAGAUGAAUACCAUUGUAUUUUUGGAAUGUGAUAAAUAUUUUGAUGUAAGAAAGACAUAUAUAAAACCUUUUUAUAGAAAAAAAAACCUUCUUGUUAUAAACUUAUACUAUUUAUUGUUUGUUCGUGACAUUUAAGAGCUUACCAACUUAUGUAAAUGCCUUUGUAUAGCUGAUAAGAUUCAUAAUUCAUAGUUCAAUUACCAUAUUUCAUUGUUUUUAUAUUAUGUGUUGUCAUACUUCGCUUAUAAUUCAAUGAUUCAGUUCCAUUUGUAUUUGUAACAACAUUUACAUAUUUUGAUCUACAUCACUGAUGCUAUUAUAUAUAUUUCUACAUUUACAUCUAGAUCUACAUCACUGAUGCUAUUAUAUAUAUUUCUACAUCUACAUCACUGAUGCUAUUAUAUAUAUUUCUACAUCUACAUCACUGAUGCUAUUAUAUAUAUUUCGGUGCUUUGUUUCUAUUGUUUUAUGCUAGUUGUUUUUGUGCCUCGUACCCAUCUUUUAAGUUUAGCUAAUUGCUACUAAUUUUUACAGUUUGUUCUUAUGUUGUGCUGUUACAUCAUUUUCCCAGGUAAGGGAAGGGUUCAGCGCCCAAAAACAUAUUUAAUCCACCCACAUUCUUUAUGUCCCAAGUCAGGAGCUUGUAGUUCAGUGGUUCAUGUCUGUCAUAUUUGUUUAUCGAAAAUAAAUUAUGCCGUUGGUUUUCUCGUUUGAAUUGUUUCACAUGUUUCAUGUCGAGGCCUUUUAUAGACGACUAUACGGUAUGGGUUUUCUCAUUGCUGAAGGCCGUACUGUUACCUUUAAUUGCUUACAUCCAUUUCAUUUUAACUCUGGUGGAUAGUUGUCUCAUUGGCAAUCAUACCUCACCUCCUUACUUUUAUAUUACCUGAUAUAUCAAAAAAGAACUAUUCGACAAAGUAUAAUUGUGCUUACCAGAUCUACACUAGAUGCAUUUGAUAAAGUGACACAUGUGCAUAAAGGGUUAUUAUCAUCAAAUAGUCUAUUGGAUCACAGAAAAAGAUGAAUAUGUCGUCAAAUGAGAUGGUAUCAUCAAAUAAUAUGAGUUUUAACAGCAAAUUAUCAACAGAAUUGCAAUUAUGCAUCAUUUAUUUAAAUAAAAUCUGAAAAUGCAGAACAAAAUAGAAAGUCCAAGCAUUUCGUUUUUAUUAUAUAUGUCUGAUGUGUUUCUUUUUUAUAUCUGCUUUAAAAAAAAUUAAAAAUUCA